rnacentral:miRNA from 10 species
CUCUGAAGUUUCCCUCAGGAUACCUGGUGCUCUAACAAACCUAACGUCCCCACGCAGUUUUAUCUUUUAAAGCGAAUGAUUAGAGGUCUUGAGGCUGAAACGAUCUCAAC